rnacentral:lncRNA from 10 species
CCGGUCGGCGCCGCCUGCGAAGUGCUCCGCGGCCGGCGGAGACGCGGGCAGCCAGCGAUGGCCGCGGAGGGGGCGAACUGGGUUCCGGCCCUCGGAGGCUGACGGAAGGCGGUGGCUGAGGAGCGGCGCCUCUGGUUGAGCGCUCGCCGUGUGUCCCGCACCUGUCUGUCCUGCCGCCGCCCGGUAAGGUAGGAAAGGUCAGCCACAGCACAGCACCGCACAUCUCCAGUCGGACUGGCUACAUUUCAAGGGCUCAACCAUCACGCGUUACCAGUGGCUACUGCAUCAGACUGUGCAGUGCUAGAUGGGGAGUCAGAAGAGAAACCAAGUGAUUUCCAUGUCAAGUGGUGAACAGGCUAAGAAGAAAAGUAAAUUGGGGAAAGAGCAUGGGGAAUGUGGGGGUUGCUGUUUGAAAGAGGAUGGUUGGGAAGGCUGAAGAGCUGUCAUUCGCAGAGGGACCCAAAAGAGGUCCACUUACAGCUGGAUUUACUUCCACCUCUGCCACCUGUGAGACAGCGAGACCAACCCCUCCUCCUCCUCUUCCUAGCCUACUCCGAGUGAAGAUGAUGAAGAUGAAGACCGUUAUGAUCCACUUCCACUUAAUGAAAGAUGAAUAUAUUUUCUCUUCCUAAUGAUUUUUUUUUUUUUUUUUUUGGAGACAGAGUCUCGCUGCAUCCCCCAGGCUGGAGUACAGUGGUAUGAUCUUGGCUCACUGCAACCUCUGCCUCCUAGGUUCAAGUGAUUCUCCUGCCUCAGUCUCCCGAGUAGCUGGGAUUACAGGCGCCCACCACCAUGCCCGGCUAAUUUUUGUAUUUUUAGUAGAGAUGGGGUUUCACUAUGUUGGCCAGGCUGGUCUCAAACUCCUGACCUCAGGUGAUCUGCCUGACUUGGCCUCCCAAAGUGCUGGGAUUACAGGCAUGAGCCACCUUGCCUGGCCUCUUCCUAAUGAUUUUUUAAAGUACAUCUUGUUUUCUCUGUCUUACUUUAUCAUAAAAAUAUAUGAUACAAAUAAAAUACAGAAUAUGUGUUAAUGGACUGUGUAUGUUAUGAGUAAGCCUUCCAGUCGACAGUGGGCUAUUAUUGGUGGUUAAGUUUUGGGGGAGUGUGUGUUCAAGGGUCAACCGCACUUCCUGAGGGCACUGUGAGAACUAAGUUAAAUAACCCACUUUUACAAUCUUUGGAACCGGGGGCAGGUGGCUGGGGCUCACACCUGUAAUUACAGCACUUUGGGAGGCUGAGGCAGGAAGAUCCCUUGAGGCCAAGAGUUUGAGACCAGCCUGGGCAACAAAGCAAGACUCUGUCUCUACAAAAAUUUU